rnacentral:rRNA from 1 species
GACGAACGCUGGCGGCGUGCUUAACACAUGCAAGUCGAACGGAAAGGCCCUGCUUUUGUGGGGUGCUCGAGUGGCGAACGGGUGAGUAACACGUGAGUAACCUGCCCUUGACUUUGGGAUAACUUCAGGAAACUGGGGCUAAUACCGGAUAGGAGCUCCUGCUGCAUGGUGGGGGUUGGAAAGUUUCGGCGGUUGGGGAUGGACUCGCGGCUUAUCAGCUUGUUGGUGGGGUAGUGGCUUACCAAGGCUUUGACGGGUAGCCGGCCUGAGAGGGUGACCGGCCACAUGGGUACUGAGAGACGGCCCAGACGCCUACGGGAGGCAGCAGUGGGGAAUAUGGCACAAUGGGCGGAAGCCUGAUGCAGCAACGCCGCGUGCGGGAUGACGGCCUUCGGGUUGUAAACCGCUGUCGCCUGUGACGAAGCGUGAGUGACGGUAAUGGGUAAAGAAGCACCGGCUAACUACGUG